rnacentral:tRNA from 1 species
GCCAGGGUGGUGUAGUGGUUUGAAUAUUGGACUAUGACUCUGAAGACCAGAGUUCAAAUCCCUGCUUGGCU